UCGGCCUGAAAGACAUGGGUAGUGAGAUGUUGGCCUGGUAGUUCCUCACCUCUCACUACUUUGUCGUUCAUGUCGUG
rfam:Daphnia pulex DAPPTscaffold_80_Cont3895, whole genome shotgun sequence.